rnacentral:lncRNA from 1 species
AUAUCAGGCAGAACAGGGGUAACUGGCUGUAUUGACCAAUGAGGAAAGCAUGGGUCCAUAGAUCCAGCCCGAUGGAGGUAUCUUAUCCAGUUAGGGCAUAAUGUUGGGAUAAGCCUGUUCAAGACCUUAAAAGGGGAAUGCCCAAGGCUCCAGAAGACAUUGCUUACCCACAAAGCACCAGACCGCAAACCGGAUCCAUGUGAUGGUGGAGAGCUUUAGCAUGAGAUAGAUAUUCACCAACAUGGCAAAGGCAGGUACAAAGGGGAGGCAGGGGGCCAUGUACGGCAGCUUCUUGGGGUUCUCUGGCUGCUGCAGGAUUACAAACACCAGCACACUGAUCAGCAGCAUCAUCAGAACGACCAGAAGGAUGGCCCACCAGCUCUGGCCUGAGAUGUACUCAGAGCCAAAGAUGAUGAAGGAGCAGAAGAUGAACAUGAGGAUGAACAGCAGGAGCACGCAGAUGGUCACCGUGUGCCCGGUCGCCGCCGUGGGCCGGUCCAUUUUGCCUGGAAGGCCCAGCCGGAUUCUCAUGUGAGAGGUCCUAUUCACUAUGUGACAGGAAGAGCUGAUCGGAUCUAGGAGGUAUGUCAGAAAUCUACAUGGACGCCCACAGAAGCUGGGAAGAUGGACGCCCACAGAAGCUGGGAAGAUGGAAGCCCACAGAAGCUGGGAAGAUGGACGCCCACAGAAGCUGGGAAGAUGGACGCCCACAGAAGCUGGGAAGAUGGAAGCCCACAGAAGCUGGGAAGAUGGACGCCCACAGAAGCUGGGAAGAUGGACGCCCACAGAAGCUGGGAAGAUGGACGCCCACAGAAGCUGGGAAGAUGGACGCCCACAGAAGCUGGGAAGAUGGACGCCCACAGAAGCUGGGAAGAUGGACGCCCACAGAAGCUGGGAAGAUGGACGCCCACAGAAGCUGGGAAGAUGGACGCCCACAGAAGCUGGGAAGAUGGACGCCCACAGAAGCUGGGAAGAUGGACGCCCACAGAAGCUUGGAAGAUGUUCAGUCUGAAGCAUUCUCGAUGCUUGUUGGGAGUGAGCAUUCUCACAAGCCCUAUGACAUCACAAUCUUUGGAGGUGGUGUUCAGCCAACUGUACUUUUUUAAGACACCCGAGUUUUCAAACCUGAGACAUGGCUUUGCAAACGGAGGUGCAGGGAUGGAGUUGGUAAAAUAGCAUGCCAGUUUAGAAGCUCAGAGACACAGGUUCAAGUCCAGCGGAAGAUGAGAAGGCCAGCCAGAGUGACUGAAAUAUGGGUCCUCCUGCAGCAGGCCCCGAGAGCCCUGAGGAAGCUCUCCUG